rnacentral:rRNA from 1 species
UACAGAGGGUGCGAGCGUUAAUCGGAAUUACUGGGCGUAAAGCGCACGUAGGCGGCUUGGUAUGUCGGGUGUGAAAUCCCCGGGCUCAACCUGGGAACUGCAUCCGAAACUGCCUUGCUCGAGUAUGGGAGAGGGAAGUGGAAUUUCCGGUGUAGCGGUGAAAUGCGAAGAUAUCGGAAGGAACAUCAGUGGCGAAGGCGACUUCCUGGACCAAUACUGACGCUCAGGUGCGAAAGCGUGGGGAGCAAACAGG